UACGUAGGGUGCAAGCGUUAAUCGGAAUUACUGGGCGUAAAGCGCGCGUAGGCGGCUUUUCAAGCCGAUUGUGAAAUCCCCGGGCUUAACCUGGGAACUGCAGUCGGGACUGUCUAGCUAGAGUAUGGGAGAGGGAAGUGGAAUUUCAGGUGUAGCGGUGAAAUGCGUAGAUAUCUGAAGGAACAUCAGUGGCGAAAGCGACUUCCUGGACCAAUACUGACGCUCAUGUGCGAAAGCGUGGGGAGCAAACAGG
rnacentral:rRNA from 1 species